rnacentral:misc_RNA from 1 species
UUAGUACAAAGAAAAACGAGAAAUUGAGAAAACGAUAAAACUCGGUGUUAUUGAAAAAUCGGGAAUACAACCCGAAUAGGGGUAUUGUGGUCAUUUGACACCCAGAGUUGGCUUUUGACCUAAAUGUCAAUGAAAAAUAAAUGGUAUUACAUUUGGGAAAAUCAAAUGAAAAAUGGAAUUAAAGAUAAAAUGUAAAUUAAGAGAAAUUAAGGUUAAAAUUGCAAUUUUUGAAAUCUUAUAUUAUAAUAUCAUUAAUCUAAGUUUCGUGGAGCACUAAGUGGAUACAUUAAUACUUAAAAUGAGGGCAGAAUCUUCCACUCACUUCAUCAUCCUCACCAAGCUCUCCCAUGGCCAAAAAUUGUGUCCCAACUUUCCUCCAUGGAAACCACCCAUGCAAGCUUGAGAUCACCUUCAUUUCAAGCUAAAUUCUUGAACUUCCUUCAUUAAUCUUUGCCUACACACCUUGGGCAGCAAUAAGGGAGCAAGAAAGAUAAGUUUUGGUAGAGUUUUGAAGAUGUCCAAAAGAGGUAAGUGGUUAUUUUCAAUUCUUGUUUCAUUAAAAGUGUAAUUAAGGUUGUGGAUGGUUAAAUUAUGGAAGAAUUUUUGAGGUUUGAUGAAUUAUUGGUGAUGGAGCAUUUUGGCAGCCAUGGAACUUCAUCAUGUACAGCUUGUAUUUGCAUGUAAAUGGUUGUUGAGAUGUUAAAUUAAGUGUUUAAAUGUAUUGGAGUUAGUUUUCAUGUAUAAAGUUUGAUUUGUAAGCUUGAAAAGUAAAAAUGGAAGUUGAUGUGUAUGUGUAAUUUUUUGGCAGCCUCAAAAUGGAAAUUUGUAAGGUUCAAAUUCAUGAAAUGUUGUUGAAAUAUUGUACAAAAGAAUGGCAGCAUAUAUGUGUGUGGAAUAGUAGUGAUAGGUAUGUAAUUUGAUGAUGGAAGUUUGUGUGAUAAUUAGAAGUAUUUAUGUGUAUAUAUUAUUGGGAUUGAACUUGUGAAUUGUGAUUGCAUUUGGUGUAUUUUGGAAGUGGUUAUAUUCUGUCCAAGUUGACAUAUAAUGUAGAGAAUUGAAUGGUUUUGGUUAGUGCCAAAUGCAGAAUGGUAUGGAGAAGUGAGGAGAUAGUUGGUGAAUGUGUGUUGGUUUUGUGUUUGGAAAGCAUGUAGAAGGCAGUGUGCAAAUGGACCUAUAACCCUAAGUGUGUGACUCCAAUUGGUAUGAGGGCAAUUG